GCCAGAAAGAAAAAACUCCCCCAGCAAGUUUUUAUCCUCCACCAACGUCCUCUCACCCUCAUAAACACCAAAUAUCAAAAGCCGUAGUGAAUUCAUCUUCAAUACUGUUGGGGAUAGUCGUGUUUCUUGGAAUCAGCACAUGUACUGUCCCCGAACAAUCUGUAACUCCAAGGGACAGAGGACAGAGGAGUAACAUCUACCACCACAAAGUCCCCU
rnacentral:misc_RNA from 1 species